rnacentral:rRNA from 1 species
GAUGAACGCUAGCGGCAGGCCUAACACAUGCAAGUCGAGGGGCAGCACGGAAUGUAGCUUGCUACAUCUGGUGGCGACCGGCGCACGGGUGCGUAACGCGUAUGCAACCUACCUAUAACAGGGGGAUAAUUCCGAGAAAUUGGUUCUAAUACCCCAUACUAUAUUGAAUGGCAUCAUUUGAUAUUGAAAGUUCCGGCGGUUAUAGAUGGGCAUGCGUUGUAUUAGCUAGUUGGUGAGGUAACGGCUCACCAAGGCGACGAUACAUAGGGGGACUGAGAGGUUAGCCCCCCACACUGGUACUGAGACACGGACCAGACUCCUACGGGAGGCAGCAGUGAGGAAUAUUGGUCAAUGGUCGGAAGACUGAACCAGCCAAGUCGCGUGAGGGAAGACAGCCCUAUGGGUUUUAAACCUCUUUUGUAAUGGAAGAAUAAGUCUUACGUGUAGGACGAUGCCAGUACAUUACGAAUAAGCAUCGGCUAACUCCGUGCCAGCCGCCGCAGUAAGAC